rnacentral:misc_RNA from 1 species
CCGAGUACCGGUGCCCCCGGGCGCCUGCUCCCACCCGUGUGAACCGAUCAAUCGUUGCUUUGGCGGGCCGGCGGCCCCGGCCGCCCUCCGGCUUCGGCGGGAGCGCGCCCGCCAGAGGACCCAUCAAACCCGCUGAACGGUGCGAUCUGAGCCUACGCGAAAAAUCA